AUGGUGAACGUGCCUAAGACCUGCCGGACAUUCUGCAAGAAAUGUGCAAAGCACUACCCCACAAGGUGACACAGUACAAGAAGGGCAAGGAGUCUUUUAUGCCCAGGGAAAGCCGCGUUAUGACAGGAAACAGAGUGACUAUGGUGGGCAGACUAAGCCUAUUUUCCACAAAAAGGCUAAAACUACAAAGAAGAUUGUGCUGAGACUGGAGUGUGUUGAGCCCAACUGCAGAUCUAAGAGGAUGCUGGCUAUUAAGAGAUGCAAGCAUUUUGAAUUGGAAGGCGACAAGAAGAGAAAGGGCCAAGUGAUCCAGUUCUAAG
rnacentral:lncRNA from 1 species